rnacentral:sRNA from 1 species
UAUAUCGAUAAUUCAAAAUGGCAGCAGUUAAUGCUACUUUCGAACGAAAGUCAUAUUAACCCUUAUGAGGUAGAGGUUAUUGUCCGGUAUCAAAGCAGGCAUAAAAAAAGCGCCCGCAGGCGCUUUAUAAAGAAA